AUUGAACGCUGGCGGCAGGCCUAACACAUGCAAGUCGAGCGGAUGAAGGGAGCUUGCUCCUGGAUUCAGCGGCGGACGGGUGAGUAAUGCCUAGGAAUCUGCCUGGUAGUGGGGGAUAACGUCCGGAAACGGGCGCUAAUACCGCAUACGUUCUGAUGGAGAAAGUGGGGGAUCUUCGGACCUCACGCUAUCAGCUGAGCCUAGGUCGGAUUAGCUAGUUGGUGGGGUAAAGGCCUACCAAGGCGACGAUCCGUAACUGGUCUGAGAGGAUGAUCAGUCACACUGGAACUGAGACACGGUCCAGACUCCUACGGGAGGCAGCAGUGGGGAAUAUUGGACAAUGGGCGAAAGCCUGAUCCAGCCAUGCCGCGUGUGUGAAGAAGGUCUUCGGAUUGUAAAGCACUUUAAGUUGGGAGGAAGGGCAGUAAGUUAAUACCUUCCUGUUUUGACGUUACCAACAGAAUAAGCACCGGCUAACUCCGUG
rnacentral:rRNA from 1 species